rnacentral:lncRNA from 1 species
GGAAAUUGUCACCUGCUCUUUGAAAACUUUGCUUUUUGCAAGGUAUUCUUCUCAGAUCUGAGUUGUACCUUGCCAGCACAAAAACAAAUAAAUAAAUAAAUCCCACAAUUCUUCACUGAACAAUAUUGAGAAACACAACUGUUCAAAGAGAAAUAAGUGCCAUGUUUUUGUCUGCAGCUGUUGUGUGGAUCUGACCUUAAUUGUAUUCAAAAUUCAAAAUUUGCAUUUACGAAAGAUAUACACCAUUAAAUACAUAUGUAAUUCUUUCCCUACUAUGUGCUGGAAUAAAGAAGCAGAUGUUCAACAGGCCAUGUUUUAGGAGCAACCACAAGUGUGACAUCAAGAUGUUGGUGGAGUGUUUCAAGGAGUCACCCAGUAAAGCCAGCUUGAUGCCCUCAGAGCUACUGGUCAGUCUGAAAAGGACACUCAUGUGAAUGUCAACUGAAGGAGAUGUCCGUGCCCUGAGGUUUCCUCACUCCGACUAAUAGGCCAAGGAACACAUUCCUCUCUGCUCAUGUAAACUUAGGUCUUUAUUGCUACGCUGGUUUGU